UACGUAGGGUGCAAGCGUUAAUCGGAAUUACUGGGCGUAAAGCGUGCGCAGGCGGUUGUGCAAGACAGAUGUGAAAUCCCCGGGCUCAACCUGGGAACUGCAUUUUGUGACUGCACGGCUGGAGUGCGGCAGAGGGAUGGAAUUCCGCGUGUAGCAGUGAAAAUGCGUAGAUAUGCGGAGGAACACCGAUGGCGAAGGCAAUCCCCUGGGCCUGCACUGACGCUCAUGCA
rnacentral:rRNA from 1 species